CGGGGGGAGCAAGCGUUGUUCGGAUUUACUGGGCGUAAAGGGCGCGUAGGCGGCCACCGCAAGUCGACUGUGAAAUCUCCGGGCUUAACCCGGAAAGGUCAGCCGAUACUGCGGGGCUAGAGUGCAGAAGGGGCAACUGGAAUUCUCGGUGUAGCGGUGAAAUGCGUAGAUAUCGAGAGGAACACCUGCGGCGAAGGCGGGUUGCUGGGCUGACACUGACGCUGAGGCGCGAAAGCUAGGGGAGCGAACGGGAUUAGAUACCCCGGUAGUCCUAGCCUUAAACGAUGAAUGCUUGGUGUCUGGGGCUUUAUAGUCCCCGGGUGCCGUCGCUAACGCUUUAAGCAUUCCGCCUGGGGAGUACGGUCGCAAGACUG
rnacentral:rRNA from 1 species